GUGCCGAGCGUCUAUUGGUGUUGUCGAGAUGUGUGUGGAUUUUUUGCUCUUCUCCGUUUAUGGGCAUGGGAAAGAAUGCUGCCUUUUCAGCCCGUACUUAGGCAUCACCUCGAGAUUGACAUGCCUUAUGCGAGGAGGUGGACAACGGGUUUUGACCGGGAUGUGGAUACGCACCACAAUAUUCUUCCAUUCCGGGACCAGCUUGAUCACAUGACGGACGAUGCGCUAUUUAUAUAGACGUCGUACGCUGCUAUAUUAGAUGGUUUGCCGGCCUUCUGUAGGGCAGGUCAGGGGGUUUGGAGGUCGCGGUGUCCAUUGAUACAUCCGGACAUCGUAGGAGCACAUGCCCGAG